CGCGGUAAUACGGAGGAUGCAAGCGUUAUCCGGAUUCAUUGGGUUUAAAGGGUGCGUAGGCGGCCAUUUAAGUCAGUGGUGAAAUCCUGCCGCUUAACGGUAGAAUUGCCAUUGAUACUGAAAGGCUUGAGUCCAGUUGAGGUAAGCGGAAUGUGUAGUGUAGCGGUGAAAUGCUUAGAUAUUACACAGAACACCAAUUGCGAAGGCAGCUUACUAAACUGGCACUGACGCUGAUGCACGAAAGCGUGGGGAGCGAACAGGAUUAGAUACCCUGGUAGUCCACGCCGUAAACGAUGUUCACUCGCUGUUUGCGAUACACAGCAAGCGGCCAAGCGAAAGCAUUAAGUGAACCACCUGGGGAGUACGAUCGCAAGGUUGAAACUCAAAGGAAUUGACGGGGGCCCGCACAAGCGGAGGAACAUGUGGUUUAAUUCGAUGAUACGCGAGGAACCUUACCUGGGCUUAAAUGUAGAACGACAGAUUGUGAAAGCAGUCCUUCUUCGGACGUUUUACAAGGUGCUGCAUGGUUGUCGUCAGCUCGUGCCGUGAGGUGUCGGGUUAAGUCCCAUAACGAGCGCAACCCUUAUCGUUAGUUGCCAGCGGGUCAAGCCGGGGACUCUAGCGAGACUGCCACCGUAAGGUGUGAGGAAGGUGGGGAUGACGUCAAAUCAGCACGGCCCUUAUGUCCAGGGCUACACACGUGUUACAAUGGCCGAUACAAAGGGCAGCUACUUCGUGAGAAGAUGCUAAUCUCCAAAGUCGGUCUCAGUUCGGAUCGAAGUCUGCAACCCGACUUCGUGAAGCUGGAUUCGCUAGUAAUCGCAUAUCAGCCAUGAUGCGGUGAAUACGUUCCCGGGCCUUGUACACACCGCCCGUCAAACAAUGGAAGCUGGGGGUACCUGAAGUC
rnacentral:rRNA from 1 species